AGAGUUUGAUCAUGGCUCAGAGCGAACGCUGGCGGCAGGCCUAACACAUGCAAGUCGAACGGACCCUUCGGGGUUAGUGGCGGACGGGUGAGUAACACGUGGGAACGUGCCUUUAGGUUCGGAAUAGCUCCUGGAAACGGGUGGUAAUGCCGAAUGUGCCCUUCGGGGGAAAGAUUUAUCGCCUUUAGAGCGGCCCGCGUCUGAUUAGCUAGUUGGUGAGGUAACGGCUCACCAAGGCGACGAUCAGUAGCUGGUCUGAGAGGAUGACCAGCCACACUGGGACUGAGACACGGCCCAGACUCCUACGGGAGGCAGCAGUGGGGAAUCUUGCGCAAUGGGCGAAAGCCUGACGCAGCCAUGCCGCGUGAAUGAUGAAGGUCUUAGGAUUGUAAAAUUCUUUCACCGGGGACGAUAAUGACGGUACCCGGAGAAGAAGCCCCGGCUAACUUCGUGCCAGCAGCCGCGGUAAUACGAAGGGGGCUAGCGUUGCUCGGAAUUACUGGGCGUAAAGGGCGCGUAGGCGGAUCGUUAAGUCAGAGGUGAAAUCCCAGGGCUCAACCCUGGAACUGCCUUUGAUACUGGCGAUCUUGAGUAUGAGAGAGGUAUGUGGAACUCCGAGUGUAGAGGUGAAAUUCGUAGAUAUUCGGAAGAACACCAGUGGCGAAGGCGACAUACUGGCUCAUUACUGACGCUGAGGCGCGAAAGCGUGGGGAGCAAACAGGAUUAGAUACCCCGGUAGUCCAA
rnacentral:rRNA from 1 species